GGGAUCGUGGCGCAGUUGACUAGUGCGUAGGCCCUAUAAUCCUACGGUCGUGAGCUCGAGCCUCACCGAUCCCA
rnacentral:tRNA from 1 species